rnacentral:rRNA from 1 species
AUGACCACUUCGACUGGUGUGCCGGUGAGUUCGCUGGCAGCGCUGGUGUGGGCUAUGGAGGAGACAGAGGGAGGAAAUCAAGAGCAGAGGAGGAAGUGGUGGGCGUUCAGAUCUCGACGCCGCUUCCCCGCUGGCCCGGAGGAAUUCGUGGUGGGAGCUGUGAUGGCCAUACCCACUCCAGGGACUCACUGGGUGCCCAUCCAGAUCGAGGACAGCGGGACAGAAACAGAGGAGGAGCUGCCAGAUCUAGGAGAGGGGACGAGCCAGAUGGUGGAAGAGAAAGGAGAGGGGAAGAAGACGAAGGAGAAGAACUUGGCCCCACGCAGAUCUCCACGCUUCCUGCGUUGCUCGCCACGUCUUCAGGAGGCGGCCAAGUUCGCGGCGGAGGGCUAG